GUCAUUUGUCUUGGCUAGAGUUACUCCCUUUAUGAUUACUUCAGCUAGGUUCUCUUUCCCACGAUGGCCCAACAUUUUCUCCAUACCAUCUAUGUUUUUUAACACUAUACAUAUCACUUUACUCAUUCACUAACACACCACGUGAUUCUUCACAUUUUCUCUGAACCCAUAGCUGGAAAAGCAAAUUUUCCUUCUCUGUACAACUCCCCUUUCUUCUUCCUUCCCCAAGCCUAAUACCUAGAAAUGAGCCCUAAUUGUCCUGAAAAAGCAUCAAAAGUCACUAACGACAUUGUGGGAAUCUCCCUCUGCGUCAUGCAAGAAUUCCCUUACAACCCUAGUGAAAGACACUCAAAUGGUCUUCGCCCCUCUUCCACAACAGUACCGUCGCGUGGCUGACCUACAGUCCAGAUUCCCCUGCCCUUCACAGUGGGUUCGGCUUGACUUGUAGAUCGACAUCAAGGCCUUUGCUAUUCUUGCGGCAUUUUUGGCAAUGGGUUUGUUGAUAAUCACAGGUCCAGAGAGUGCUUGCUUGUGAAACCGCUGUUUGAACAGAACAAGCGUAUAAAUUCCUCAUGCCCAAGCCAAGCAUAUCCACCAGAAUCAAUCUCACCUCAUGGCACUCCACUCUCAUUUCUGGCCAUAAAUGGCAUAUGACCCAUAGGUUAGCCACGACAAAUCCAAAGACUCGGUCCUACUAGAUUUUAUCACUAAAAGCAUGACACUUGUAUAACAAAGAUUCAUUCUGGAACAUUCUGGCUUGGCACAUCUUCAGUAUUUCCUGAUGAGGUAUCCUUUGAGUGCUGAUCAUGUGUGGUAAUUGUAUUGUUGAUACGCCCCUGCGAGCCAAGCAUGCCUGGAAGAACAGUGAGGCUUGAUCUAAGUGUUGAAAAUGUGAAAGUGGAUAAGGGCUUUGUAAAUAUAUCAGCAAGCUGAUCCUUGCUUGAGAGAAAUGAAACUUGAAGAGCUUUUUCUUGAAUUUGGUGCCUUACAAAAUGAUAUUCAAUAUCAUUAUGUUUGGUAUGAGAAUGCAUCACAGGAUUCAUGGAUAGGUAAGUUGUCCCUAAUUGUCACAGUAGAGGGUAGGGGGUUUUGAAAAUUCUUAAUUCAGACAAGAGAGAUUGUAGCCACAGUAAUUCAUAAGUGGCAUGAAUAAGAGCCUUGUAUUCUGCCUCAGUACUUGAUUGGGCUAUAAUAGAUUGCUUCUUUGAGCUC